UACGUAGGGAGCAAGCGUUGUCCGGAAUCAUUGGGCGUAAAGCGCGCGUAGGUGGCCUCAUAAGUCCGCUGUGAAAGUCAAAGGCUCAACCUUUGAAAGCCGGUGGAUACUGUGAGGCUAGAGUACGGAAGAGGCGAGUGGAAUUCCUGGUGUAGCGGUGGAAUGCGCAGAUAUCAGGAGGAACACCAAUAGCGAAGGCAGCUCGCUGGGACGUUACUGACACUGAGGCGCGAAAGCUAGGGGAGCAAACAGG
rnacentral:rRNA from 1 species